rnacentral:rRNA from 1 species
AACGUAGGAGACAAACGUUAUCCGGAUUUACUGGGCGUAAAGGGCGUGCAGGCGGUGCGCUAAGUCUGGCGUGAAAUAUGUCGGCUUAACCGGGAUAUGUCGUCGGAGACUGGCGGACUAGAGGGUGAUAGAGGCGUGUGGAAUUCCGGGUGUAGUGGUGAAAUGCGUAGAGAUCCGGAGGAACACCAGUGGCGAAGGCGACACGCUGGGUCACAUCUGACGCUAAGACGCGACAGCAUGGGGAGCGAACGGG